rfam:Brachypodium distachyon strain Bd21 chromosome 1, whole genome shotgun sequence.
UAUGUGCUUUCUUCGUCCAACAAAGAAUGUCUCUAACUUUGACUAAAUUUGAAUGCAUCUAUAUCCUAAGUCAUGUCUAGAUACAUCUAAAUUUUGACAAAUUUAAGACAUUUUUUGUUAGAUGGAGGAAGUAGCUU